rnacentral:lncRNA from 1 species
AAGGGCUAUGGUUACCAUCAAUUGACAACCGAGAGAGGAGAGGAAGAAGAAAAAGGCAGAGGAGAGUCUGGUGCUACGCACAACGGUGUGCAUGAAAAGAAGAUGAUUUGUACGAAAACGUGUGUUUUACUAUUAUGCGGCUCUCUUCAGCACAAUUCUACCAAAUCUGUGUCAGAUUUGAGGGCGCAAAGUGCUCUACGGUGAAUUUCGGCCAAUCCAUAACGGUGAUUAACAGCGAACGGCGG